UACGUAGGGUGCGAGCGUUAAUCGGAAUUACUGGGCGUAAAGCGUGCGCAGGCGGCGCGUUAAGACAGGUGUGAAAGCCCCGAGCUUAACUUGGGAAUUGCGCUUGUGACUGGCGUGCUGGAGUGUGGCAGAGGGAGGUGGAAUUCCACGUGUAGCAGUGAAAUGCGUAGAGAUGUGGAGGAACACCGUUGGCGAAGGCAGCCUCCUGGGCCAGCACUGACGCUCAUGCACGAAAGCGUGGGGAGCAAACAGG
rnacentral:rRNA from 1 species